UGAGACUGUGUGGCAGAGGUGGAACGUCGUUCCGGAGCGUCUGUUUGUGGUGGUCUCGGUGUACACUUUCUUCUCUCCCAGAGUCCACGUGUUUUCACUCGUCUGCGUUUCUGUCUCAGACCCACGUCUAAGGCCACGGAUUUGGGGCGCGAGCAGCAAUGAAUCGUGGGCCGCUGGCUUCCAGGCACUCACAUCCUCGCAAAGGAGGAAAACUUGUACAUACGGUGUAAUUACGGUGUUAAUAGAGCAUAGCACACUUUGUGACUGCCCUACCCAACCUCGGGUCUGACUGUUGUAUUUACUCCACCA